rnacentral:rRNA from 1 species
UUCAUGGAGAGUUUGAUCCUGGCUCAGGACGAACGCUGGCGGCGUGCCUAAUACAUGCAAGUCGAGCGGACAGAUGGGAGCUUGCUCCCUGAUGUUAGCGGCGGACGGGUGAGUAACACGUGGGUAACCUGCCUGUAAGACUGGGAUAACUCCGGGAAACCGGGGCUAAUACCAGAUGCUUGAUUGAACCGCAUGGUUCAAUUAUAAAAGGUGGCUUUUAGCUACCACUUACAGAUGGACCCGCGGCGCAUUAGCUAGUUGGUGAGGUAACGGCUCACCAAGGC